UGAGAGGAAUGUGGGCAGCUUGCUGUGUUAUAGCCUCUUGUUGUACACGGUGCCUGGGAUUNAGGACUGCAGCACGCCUUUGUAGGGGUUCGCCCACUCCACGUGCUUAGGAUGCUGGCGUAAUGGCUUUAAACGACCCGUCUUGAAACACGGACCAAGGAGUCUAACAUAUAUGCGAGUGUUAAACACUCGCAUAUAUGUUAG
rnacentral:rRNA from 1 species